GGGGAUGACCGGUUUUGACAGCGUGUAGAGGUGGUAUGUAAGCAUGCAGAGCGAUGAUGGCUAUGCUCUAUAAUCUCAGACAUCAACAAUUUAACUGGCGAAAAUAACUACGCUCUCGCUGCCUAACCGAAGCACAGUAAGUUAGCUUUAUUUCUGCCACAGUGGCAGAAACGAGACAUCACCCGAUUGCCUUGCUCUGAGACGUUUCGAUAAGGUGGUGCUAAUAAAAUCGGAGCUGGGACGGCUUGUUCUCCGGUAGCUGUCCGAAAUUUUAGGAGAUAAGCCUUGGGUUGGUAGUUUUGAUCCUGCCCACGGUCGAAAACCAAGUCAAAACUAAGCAUGUAGAAAGCAUAUUAGUUCCACGUUUGGACGAGAGUUCGAAUCUCUCCAUCUCCACCC
rfam:Prevotella sp. CAG:279 genomic scaffold, scf172